UAAUUCCUCUACUGCUUCGGGUGAAGCCAGCGUUUCGUCCUCCGGCAACCAGCCUCCGCCAUCCAAAUCCACCGCCACGGGCAAGAAAAAGCGGAACCUCCCUGGAAUGCCGGAUCCAGAUGCAGAGGUGAUUGCUCUGUCUCCGAAAACCCUUUUGGCUACGAACCGAUUCGUGUGUGAAAUUUGCAAUAAAGGGUUUCAAAGGGACCAGAACUUGCAGCUUCAUCGCCGAGGCCAUAAUCUACCGUGGAAACUGAGACAGAGAUCGAGUAAGGAAGUCAAGAAGAGAGUUUAUGUGUGUCCCGAGCCGACUUGUGUUCACCACGAUCCUUCCAGAGCUCUGGGCGAUCUGACGGGGAUAAAGAAGCACUUCUGCAGGAAACAUGGUGAGAAGAAGUGGAAAUGCGAUAAGUGUUCGAAGAAAUACGCGGUUCAGUCUGACUGGAAAGCUCACUCGAAGAUUUGCGGCACAAGAGAGUACAAAUGCGAUUGUGGAACUCUGUUUUCAAGGAGGGAUAGUUUCAUCACGCACAGAGCCUUCUGUGAUGCUUUAGCAGAGGAGAGUGCCAGAACUCAGACUCAAACUCCAACACCGGCUUCGAAUCUACCUGCUGUGAAUCCAAAACCGAAUCCAGAAUCGGAGCCGAAUAUGCAGGUUGAUCCGUCUCCACCUCCACCGCCUCCGCCGCCACAACCACCAGUAGCUCCAGC
rnacentral:misc_RNA from 1 species